rnacentral:tRNA from 1 species
GCCGCUUUAGCUCAGUCCGGCCAGAGCAGUCGCCUUGUAAGCGACCGGUCAACGGUUCGAAUCCGUUAAGCGGCCC